rnacentral:lncRNA from 1 species
CCGCAACUAUAGCUUGGCUGCGGGCAGGGCCAGCCUCACAGGUUGCUGAGUUCCAGUAGGGUCUGGUCCCAGCAGCUGCUCUUUGCUGGGUGUCAUUCCUGUCACUGUGAGGACACUGGCAAACCAAAGAGAUUGGUCCUUGUCUUUGGGACUCCUAGAGUUGAGGACAGAUAAUGCAUAGGAAGAAUCAGAGACUGUAACGGAUGCGAUCAACUUGAACAGAUGGGAGAUAUUAAGCACCAAGAGGGUGAAUGAGGAGGUUUCUUACUUCCUGGUCACAAAAUGGCUGCCGAAGUCCAUAAGCUAAAUCCUAAUGUGAGUGAACAUGAUCAAGAAGUUCACAAUUUUAAGUGGUCUAUACUUCAUCUGUACUCCAGAUAUGUGGUUAACAAUAUUGCUGGCUGUGAACGUCCUCUUCGUUUUAAGAUUUAUUCU